rnacentral:rRNA from 1 species
GAAUUUUGGACAAUGGGGGCAACCCUGAUCCAGCCAUCCCGCGUGUGCGAUGAAGGCCUCCGGGUUGUAAAGCACUUUUGGCCGGGAAGAAAAGGCGCUGGCUAAUACCUGGCGCUGCUGACGGUACCUGCAGACUAAGCACCGGCUAACUACGUGCCGUCAGCCGCGGUAAUACGUGGGGUGCAAGCAUUAAUCGGAAUUACUGGGCGUAAAGCGUGCGCAGGCGGUUCGGCAAGAAGGAUGUGAAAUCCCAGGGCUUAACCUUGGAACUGCAUUCUUAACUGCCGGGCUAGAGUAUGUCAGAGGGGGGUAGAAUUCCGCGUGUAGCAGUGAAAUGCGUAGAGAUGCGGAGGAAUACCGAUGGCGAAGGCAGCCCCCUGGGAUAAUACUGACGCUCAUGCACGAAAGCGUGGGGAGCAAAC